AUCCUUUUGUAGUACAUGUGCAUGAUGAUUUAAUUUUGUCCCACAUGUGUAAGAUAUACUUCCCUCAAAUCGUGUUAAGAGGUCAGAACAUUACCUGUCUGAUA
ensembl:snoRNA